rnacentral:rRNA from 1 species
CGGCAUCCUCGUCUAAUACCCGACGUUCUCCGACCGCACUGCUCAGACAUAAAAGGUGGCUUCGGCUACCACUUACAGAUGGACCCGCGGCGCAUUAGCUAGUUGGUGAGGUAACGGCUCACCAAGGCGACGAUGCGUAGCCGACCUGAGAGGGUGAUCGGCCACACUGGGACUGAGACACGGCCCAGACUCCUACGGGAGGCAGCAGUAGGGAAUCUUCCGCAAUGGACGAAAGUCUGACGGAGCAACGCCGCGUGAGUGAUGAAGGUUUUCGGAUCGUAAAGCUCUGUUGUUAGGGAAGAACAAGUGCCGUUCAAAUAGGGCGGCACCUUGACGGUACCUAACCAGAAAGCCACGGCUAACUACGUGCCAGCAGCCGCGGUAAUACGUAGGUGGCAAGCGUUGUCCGGAAUUAUUGGGCGUAAAGGGCUCGCAGGCGGUUUCUUAAGUCUGAUGUGAAAGCCCCCGGCUCAACCGGGGAGGGUCAUUGGAAACUGGGGAACUUGAGUGCAGAAGAGGAGAGUGGAAUUCCACGUGUAGCGGUGAAAUGCGUAGAGAUGUGGAGGAACACCAGUGGCGAAGGCGACUCUCUGGUCUGUAACUGACGCUGAGGAGCGAAAGCGUGGGGAGCGAACAGGAUUAGAUACCCUGGUAGUCCACGCCGUAAACGAUGAGUGCUAAGUGUUAGGGGGUUUCCGCCCCUUAGUGCUGCAGCUAACGCCAUUA